GCUUACGGCCACACCUCCCUGAGCACGCCCGAUCUCGUCUGAUCUCGGAAGCUAAGCAGGGUCGGGCCCGGUUAGUACUUGGAUGGGAGACUUUCUGGGAAUACCAGGUGCUGUAAGCC
rnacentral:rRNA from 1 species